rnacentral:ncRNA from 2 species
UUAAAUAGUUCUUAUAAGAGUGCUUAUGUUGAUCAUAAGCUAAAAGGGAAAUCGGUGUAAAUCCGAUGCAGCCCCGCUACUGUAAGUGUGGAUGAAAUUGUUGCAAACCACUGGUGCAUGUAUAAUGCGCUGGGAAGGAACAAGAGUAAAUAGAUACACAAGCCAGGAGACCUGCUUUUAUAAUGUAGUUUCA